CCUACGGGAGGCAGCAGUAGGGAAUCUUUCACAAUGGGCGAAAGCCUGAUGGAGCAACGCCGCGUGCAGGAUGAAGGCCUUCGGGUUGUAAACUGCUUUUAUAAGCGAGAAAUAUGAUGGUAACUUAUGAAUAAGGAUCGGCUAACUACGUGCCAGCAGCCGCGGUCAUACGUAGGAUCCGAGCAUUAUCCGGAGUGACUGGGUGUAAAGAGUUGCGUAGGUGGCAUAAUAAGUAGCUAGUGAAAUCUGGUGGCUCAACCAUUCAGACUAUUAGCUAAACUGUUAAGCUCGAGACCGUUAGGGGUAACUGGAAUUUCUAGUGUAGGAGUGAAAUCCGUAGAUAUUAGAAGGAACACCAAUAGCGUAGGCAGGUUGCUGGGACGGUUCUGGCACUAAGGCACGAAAGCGUAGGGAGCAAACGGGAUUAGAUACCCCAGUAGUC
rnacentral:rRNA from 1 species